GGAUCAGGAUGGAGAUUCCAGGAUUGGGAUGGAGGUGGCCAAGUUUAGGGAGGAGGUGACGAGGAUUGGGAAGGAGUGACCAGACCAGGAUUGGGAAUGAGGUGUCAGGGUUGGGAUGGAGAUUCCAGGAUUGGGAAUGAGGUGACCGGGAUUGGGAUGGAGGUUCCAGGAUUGGGAAUGAGGUUCCAGGAUCAGGAAUGAGGUUCCAGGAUCGGGAUGGAGGUGUCAGGAUUGGGAAGGAGGUUCCAGGAUCAGGAAUGAGGUUCCAGGACCAGGAAUGAGGUUCCAGGAUCAGGAAUGA